GACGAACGCUGGCGGCGUGCUUAACACAUGCAAGUCGAACGGAAAGGCCCUGCUUUUGUGGGGUGCUCGAGUGGCGAACGGGUGAGUAACACGUGAGUAACCUGCCCUUGACUUUGGGAUAACUUCAGGAAACUGGGGCUAAUACCGGAUAGGAGCUCCUGCUGCAUGGUGGUGGUUGGAAAGUUUCGGCGGUUGGGGCUGGACUCGCGGCUUAUCAGCUUGUUGGUGUGGUAGUGGCUUACCAAGGCUUUGACGGGUAGCCGGCCUGAGAGGGUGACCGGCGACAAUGGGACUGAGAUACGGCCCAGACUGCUACGGGAGGCAGCAGUGGGGAAUAUUGCACAGUGGGCGGAAGCCUGAUGCAGCAACGCCGCGUGCGGGAUGACGUCCUUCGGGUUGUAAACCGCUUUCGCAUGUGACGAAGCGUGAGUGACGGUAAUGGGUAAAGAAGCACCGGCUAACUACGUG
rnacentral:rRNA from 1 species